GCCUUUAUAGUUUAAUCGGUUAAAAACUCAUAUUUCAUACGUAUGUAACGAAGUUCGAAUCCUCCUAUAGGCU
rnacentral:tRNA from 1 species